UCUUCACGUGACCGGCAGUGGGCAAUGUAGUUAAUUUAAGCUUAUAAGUGAAUACACCGAGAAACUAAACAGGAUGGACCGAGUAGUGGCGAAUGAAAAGUCCAGAGACCGAUCCGAAUUCGAGUUGUGGAUCCCAAUGCCCGGACGACUCCAGACUGCCUGGAACGGCAGGCCGCAGAGAGUGAAAGCCUCUUUAGAGUCCGAAGGGUCCUAAACAAAAAGAGUAGCAUUUGUUGGGAAGCAAAUGCGAAUGGGUGAUAAAAGUCAUCCAAGUCUGCACAGGACGGCACACCGAUAGCAAACAAGUAUUGCGAAUAAAACAUGAAAAGUACUCCUGGAGGAGGGUUAAACUCCCAAAGAGCACGAAACAAAGU
rnacentral:rRNA from 1 species